GGCGGUUCGUCGGUGCUGGGUGCCCGCCGGAGCCUCUGUGUGCGGGCAGGGCCUGGCGCUUCUCGGGCGGAGCGGAGCGGGCGCUGCGUUUGGGGUAAUGAUUUAAAUCUGCCAUUCAGAAGAAAUACUAAUGGGACUCCUGACAUUUUGCUGAUCUUCCUGUUAGAAGAAUUAUUAUCAUCUCGUUCUGAAAUCAGUGAUAAAAGUACCAAUAUUCAAACUGCUGUGCUUAAAUAUUCAAGGUUAGAGUCUCAAGUUAGAUUACUUCCAGUCAUUUUGCUGCUGAACAGAAUUACUAGUUGUGAAUUGGCGAUUUGAGGUUCUUAUACAGUUCACAGGAGGAGUUAGACAGGAGAAGCAGCAGGAAAAAAAUGGC